rnacentral:rRNA from 1 species
ACGCUCGACACCUAGGAGGCAGCAGUUAGGAAUAUUGGGCAAUGGAGGGAACUCUGACCCAGCAACGCCGCGUGAAGGAAGAAGGUUUUCGGACUGUAAACUUCUGAUCUAAGGGAAAAAGAAAGUGAUGGUACCUUAGGAGAAAGCCACGGCUAACUACGUGCAGCAGCCGCGGUAAUCUGAGCGGGCUGGCAAGGC